rnacentral:lncRNA from 1 species
GUUCAGCAAAGUAAGAUUUACAAAUAGUCAACAUGACCAAAAUGGUCAGUUGACCCCUUUAGGAGUUAUUGACCUUUAUAGUCAUUUUUUAACCAUUUUUCGUAAAUCUUAGUAAUCUUUUACAAAAAUCUUCUCCUCUGAAACUACUGGGCCAAAUUAAUCCAAACUUGGCCACAAUCAUCUUUGGGAUAUCUAGUUUAAAAAAUGUGUGGCGUGACCUGGCCAACCAACCAAGAUGGCCGCCAUGGCUAAAAAUAGAACAUAGGGGUAAAAUGCAGUUUUUGG